ACUCAAAUGAAUAGACGGGGGCCCGCACAAGCGGUGGAGCAUGUGGUUCAAUUCGAAGCAACGCGCAGAACCUUACCAGCCCUUGACAUGUCUCGUAUGGUAGCCGGAGACGGCUUCCUUCAGUUCGGCUGGCGAGAACACAGGUGCUGCAUGGCUGUCGUCAGCUCGUGUCGUGAGAUGUUGGGUUAAGUCCCGCAACGAGCGCAACCCUCGCCCUUAGUUGCCAUCAUUCAGUUGGGCACUCUAGGGGGACUGCCGGUGAUAAGCCGAGAGGAAGGUGGGGAUGACGUCAAGUCCUCAUGGCCCUUACGGGCUGGGCUACACACGUGCUACAAUGGCGGUGACAGUGAGAUGCGGAGGGGUGACCCCAAGCGAAUCUCCAAAAGCCGUCUCAGUUCAGAUUGCACUCUGCAACUCGAGUGCAUGAAGGCGGAAUCGCUAGUAAUCGUAGAUCAGAACGCUACGGUGAAUACGUUCCCGGGCCUUGUACACACCGCCCGU
rnacentral:rRNA from 1 species